ACACCGCGUGUUUUUUCAUGAAGAUUUUAGUGCGGAGCUGAGGAGAAAACGAGCAGCUUUCAAGAAGGUGAAAUCCCUGCUUUACGGGAAAGGGGUCAGGUUCGGCCUCUUGUAUCCUGCCCGGCUCCGGGUCAUGCAUGAAGCUGUUGAAUUGACUGAAGACUGACAGCUCAGCCAGAACCACAUGAAUGGUGAAAGGCCAGUUACCUGUUGUGUGGACAAAUCUUUACACAUCGAGCAGAUGGCUGCAGCAUCUUCAGUGGAUUUCUUCUUCACUUGGAGAAGUUGUGCAGCUUGGAUUAGAGGUUCCAAUGUCUUCACGGCCCCACUUUGUUCUCCCGCACUCGUUUCUGCAGUUUCAGGAACAGAGUCAUGUCCAUAGCAGCAUUCUCCAGACCUGCUUCCUGUGAAGGACACGGCAUGAAGUUGAUCAAACACAGCUACUUCCACAGUCUACACACAAAGACCUAUGAUUACAUGUACUGACAUACAAGAAAAUACACUGGAUUCCAGAUAAUUGGAUCAUCAAUUAAUCAGGGCAGCCAUUUAUUUGGAACAAGUCUUAAAAGAAAAAAAUCUAAUCUAGAAAAUAGCUGGGAUUCCCUAUGUAUAUUUGAGAUAUUGUACCUCUUAGUUGGGACAGGAGACUUGUCAAACAGAUUCGGAUUAGUGUCAGUUGUGUGCACUUGUGUGGCCAUUGGCCACUACACCAUGUUUAGAGCAAACAUUUUUUGAAUUGUGUCAGUUGCAUAUGCUUGUGUUCAAAAAGCAGAAAUUUUUGUUACUGAUAGUUGGUGAGAAAAUAAGCAGUAAGACAAUCCAGAACUGUUUACCUCACUGCAUUUUCAAGCAUUGAGGCUUUGAGAUUUCAGAAACAGCCGAGAGUAAAAAUGAAAUGGUUUCACUGCUUCAACAAGUUAGGCACUACGAAGAAUUUGAAGACAUCGACAAUCAUCUUGAAUGUUACUAUGAAAAUAAAGAUUUGGAGGAUGCAAAGAUCUCCAGGCUGCACACAAUUAUUCCUUGAUUAAAUUAACUGAUAGAUAAGAAGAUACUUCACAGAUUUGCACUGAAACAUUAUUGGACGGUAAUGUAAUAAUGUUGGUUUAAUGUAUAGCUAUUCUACAUUUUUGUCCACGGCAUCACAACAGACCCUGUAUGGGUCCCAUAUGUACUCGGUGGCCACUUUAAAAGAUACAUCUGUCCAUCUGUUUGUUAUUGCAAAUACCUAGUCAGCCAAUUCUGUGGCAGCAACUCAAUAUAUAAAAUAUAAAAGCAUGCAGACAUGGUCAAGAGGUUCAGCUGCUGUGCGGACCAGACUUCAAAAUGAGCAAGAAAUGUGAUCUAAGUGACUUUGACUGUGAAAUGAUUGUUGGUGCCAGAUGAGGUGAUUUGAGUAUGUCAGAAACUGCUGAUCUCCUGGGAUUUUCAUGCACAACAGUCUCUAGAGUCACAGAGCAUGGUGCAAAAAACAAACAAAAAAAACAUCCAGUGAGCAGCAGUUCUGUUUGCCAAGACAAUGCGUAAAAGCAUGCAGGCACGGUCAACAGAUUCAGUUAUUAAUGUGUGAGGUCAGAAGUGACUGGUUCAAGUUGACACGAAGGCAACGGUAACUCAACCAUGUGUUACAACAGUGGUACGCUGAAGACACAACACAUUGAACCUCGAAGUGGGUGGGCGACAGCAGCAGAAGACCACAAACAUACACUUAGUGGCCACUUUAUUAGGUACGGGAGGUUUCUAAUAAAGUUGCUCCUGAGGGUAUGUCACAGCUUUGCAUGAAGAAACCUGUCUGUCCUGUUGGGGGCGAUCUUUCAUUGAUUCUAUUCUGUUCAUUGGAUUUACUGUGAAUGCCCGCAUACGAAUCUCAGGGAUGUCUGUGGUGACAUAUUAUGUACUUAGAUAAUAAAUUUAUUUUGAACUUUGGAUAAAAUCUAAAGAUUAAACAUUAUCUUUGUUUGACAAUUAUACAUAGAAACAUGUGGUGAAAUGUGUCAUUUGCAUCAAUAACCAGCAAAGUCCAAGAAUGUGCUGGGGGCAGCUCAAACAUGUCACACUGUUUCCAACAGCAAUAUAACAUGUUCACAACUUACGAACACUAAGCAGUAUAUUUCUGGAACGUGGGACGAAAUGGGAGAUGGACAGCCAAUGUCAGGCGUGCGUAAAAAGAGCUACCUUUCAAUCAAGACAGCAACAGAGAUUUAAACUGUAGAGCUUUGUGGCAGUUUCUCUGAGUUGGGGAGUGACCAAGCAAGAAGAGGGAUUAAUUAGAAAAGGCCAAUAGAAAGAACACAAGUGCAAGUGGAGCAGCCAGUUAUUUUUGAGAGUGCCAGUGUUUAGAGUGGCUUUGGCUCAUCAGUCUUAGGCAAUAUCUGGCUUGGGUGAAAUAAAGUAAUCAGUAAGUUUCUCUCUUUCUGUUCAUAUUUGUUCAUUCCUCACCUGUUAGGGCAUAUGGAUUAGUGAAAAUGGCUCUGGGGUAGUGUUUUGUACUGUGUCUGAGAUAUAGGAGGUCUCGGAGACCUGAUUCUGCUCGAGGCACGCCAAGUUGUAGUUCCUGAGAGAACAUAUUGAGGAACUGGAGCUGCAGCUCGAUGACCUUCGACUCAAACGGGAGAAUGAGGUGAUAGGCAGGAGCUACAGGGAGGUAGUCACCCCUAGGUUGCAGGAGACAGGACACUGGGUGACUGUCAGGAGAAGGAGGGGAAAUGCACAGCCAGUGCAGAGUACACCUGUGGCCGUUCCCCUCAAUAAUAAAUAUACAACUUUAGAUACA